AGGUAAGCUACUAAGAGCGAAUGGUGGAUGCCUUGACUGGUAAAGGCGAUGAAGGACGUACUAGACUGCGAUAAGCUACGGGGAGCUGUCAAGAAGCUUUGAUCCGUAGAUUUCCGAAUGGGGCAACCCAAUGUAUAGAGAUAUACAUUACCUAUAUAGGAGCGAACGAGGGGAAUUGAAACAUCUUAGUACCCUCAGGAAAAGAAAUCAAUAGAGAUUGCGUCAGUAGCGGCGAGCGAAAGCGCAAGAGGGCAAACCCAGUGCUUGCACUGGGGGUUGUAGGACUGCAAUGUGCAAGAGGUAAGUUUAGCAGAACAUUCUGGAAAGUAUAACCAUAGAGGGUGAUAGUCCCGUAUGCGAAAAACAAACCUUAGCUAGCAGUAUCCUGAGUAGGGCGGGACACGAGGAAUCCUGUCUGAAUCCGGGUCGACCACGAUCCAACCCUAAAUACUAAUACCAGAUCGAUAGUGCACAAGUACCGUGAGGGAAAGGUGAAAAGAACUGAGGUGAUCAGAGUGAAAUAGAACCUGAAACCAUUUGCUUACAAUCAUUCAGAGCCCUAUGUAGCAAUACAGGGUGAUGGACUGCCUUUUGCAUAAUGAGCCUGCGAGUUGUGGUGUCUGGCAAGGUUAAGCAAACGCGAAGCCGUAGCGAAAGCGAGUCUGAAUAGGGCGCUUAGUCAGAUGCUGCAGACCCGAAACGAAGUGAUCUAUCCAUGAGCAAGUUGAAGCUAGUGUAAGAACUAGUGGAGGACUGAACCCAUAGGCGUUGAAAAGCCCCGGGAUGACUUGUGGAUAGGGGUGAAAGGCCAAUCAAACUUCGUGAUAGCUGGUUCUCUCCGAAAUAUAUUUAGGUAUAGCGUUGUGUCGUAAUAUAAGGGGGUAGAGCACUGAAUGGGCUAGGGCAUACACCAAUGUACCAAACCCUAUCAAACUCCGAAUACCUUAUAUGUAAUCACAGCAGUCAGGCGGCGAGUGAUAAAAUCCGUCGUCAAGAGGGAAACAACCCAGACUACCAGCUAAGGUCCCUAAAUCUUACUUAAGUGGAAAACGAUGUGAAGUUACUUAAACAACCAGGAGGUUGGCUUAGAAGCAGCCAUCCUUUAAAGAAAGCGUAAUAGCUCACUGGUCUAGUGAUUUUGCGCGGAAAAUAUAACGGGGCUAAAGUAAGUACCGAAGCUGUAGACUUAGUUUACUAAGUGGUAGGAGAGCGUUCUAUUUGCGUCGAAGGUAUACCGGUAAGGAGUGCUGGAGCGAAUAGAAGUGAGCAUGCAGGCAUGAGUAGCGAUAAUUAAUGUGAGAAUCAUUAACGCCGUAAACCCAAGGUUUCCUACGCGAUGCUCGUCAUCGUAGGGUUAGUCGGGUCCUAAGUCGAGUCCGAAAGGGGUAGACGAUGGCAAAUUGGUUAAUAUUCCAAUACCAACAUUAGUGUGCGAUGGAAGGACGCUUAGGGCUAAGGGGGCUAGCGGAUGGAAGUGCUAGUCUAAGGUCGUAGGAGGUUAUACAGGCAAAUCCGUAUAACAAUACUCCGAGAACUGAAAGGCUUUUUGAAGUCUUCGGAUGGAUAGAAGAACCCCUGAUGCCGUCGAGCCAAGAAAAGUUUCUAAGUUUAGCUAAUGUUGCCCGUACCGUAAACCGACACAGGUGGGUGGGAUGAGUAUUCUAAGGCGCGUGGAAGAACUCUCUUUAAGGAACUCUGCAAAAUAGCACCGUA
rnacentral:rRNA from 2 species